UCCUACGGGAGGCAGCAGUAAGGAAUAUUGGUCAAUGGACGCAAGUCUGAACCAGCCAUGCCGCGUGGAGGAUGAAGGUCCUCUGGAUUGUAAACUUCUUUUAUAUGGGAAGAAACCCAUGAAUUCUUUUGUGGUUGACGGUACCAGAUGAAUAAGCACCGGCUAACUCCGUGCCAGCAGCCGCGGUAAUACGGAGGGUGCAAGCGUUAUCCGGAUUCACUGGGUUUAAAGGGUGCGUAGGUGGGCAGGUAAGUCAGUGGUGAAAUCUCCGGGCUUAACUCGGAAACUGCCAUUGAUACUAUCUGUCUUGAAUACCGUGGAGGUCAGCGGAAUAUGUCAUGUAGCGGUGAAAUGCUUAGAUAUGACAUAGAACACCAAUUGCGAAGGCAGCUGGCUACACGAAUAUUGACGCUGAGGCACGAAAGCGUGGGGAUCAAACAGGAUUAGAUACCCUGGUAGUCCACGCCCUAAACGAUGGAUACUCGACAUACGCGAUACACAUGUGUGUGUCUGAGCGAAAGCAUUACCUUUGCCCGCCCGGGGAAUUUG
rnacentral:rRNA from 1 species